GUCAGGGGAUUGUGUAACUUAAUGAAACUUACUUUUUCUCGAGUUGUUUGGUGUUUUUGUUUAAUUUGUAAUCAAAAACUUGCAUCAUCCACGCGUAAUUAUGUUUUUCAUACGUCAAUCUACAUACCUACAUUUUUUUUAUUUAUCUGUGUUAAUUGUGUAAAUCUUGGAUUAUAUAAAAAGCAGCUUGGAGUUGAAGGUAGCAUCAAAUCAUCUGAUACAUCUUAAGAAAUCACAACAAAAAAUAUAAAAUUUUAUUAAAAAAUGAAUGUUUCGACUGUUUUCUUCGUAGUUUUGGCAGUUUUUGCUUUGGUACAAACUGCAUGGAUGAUGCCUCAACCUAAUGGUGGAGGAGCCUUAAUCGACAUUUCUUCUGUUAUCGAAGAUCCAAACAUCUUAAACUGCCUUAAUAUCCUUGGACAUUAAUGUUUUGAGUGUGAAGGAUGUUAAACAUUAAUAAUAUGUUGUUUAAACUAUAUUAUUAAUCCCUACAGAUCUUGUAAAUAAAUAAAUUCAUCUGUAAAUACUUAAAAA